CGUCAAAUUGCAAAUUUNAAAAAGUUCCAAUUGGUUCCAGGGCUU
rnacentral:tRNA from 1 species